UACGUAGGGUGCAAGCGUUAAUCGGAAUUACUGGGCGUAAAGCGUGCGCAGGCGGUUAUGCAAGAUAGAGGUGAAAUCCCCGGGCUCAACCUGGGAACUGCCUUUGUGACUGCAUAGCUAGAGUACGGUAGAGGGGGAUGGAAUUCCGCGUGUAGCAGUGAAAUGCGUAGAUAUGCGGAGGAACACCGAUGGCGAAGGCAAUCCCCUGGACCUGUACUGACGCUCAUGCACGAAAGCGUGGGGAGCAAACAGG
rnacentral:rRNA from 1 species